GCGAUCUUUCGCGUCGCACUCUAAGCCCAGAACCAAUCCACCAGCUGCGAUCGCUCAGAGCGAGUCUGAGCGUGCGGCAGCCCAGGAAAGCAUGGCUGUCAACUCUGAAACCUAUUCAGCAUGAGCAAACACAGCUGAAGCGGGAAGCUCAGCUUCAUCUUCCUCUCCAGAGAACGAUGGCCCUCUCACCGAUGAAGCUAUCGUCAUCUGAUCCUCAUCCGGAGCGCUCAAUGGCACGCUGUCAGCAGGCAGCUCACCGGCACACGACGCGCUGAGGAGUGGGAGAUCCGUGGGGGUUUCCCCAGCGGAAAGCUCUCGCUGUAACCCUGUCUCCCAAAGUAUUGAACUGACCCGCGGCUGUGCUUUUACACACAAGCGGCGGCUGGGCAACAACAAAGGGGACUCAAGCCUUUACGAGAAAGGAGAGUCAUGACCUGCGUUUCGACGUGAUCAUGUUCCCUCGAGAACAUGAAUCACCCACGAACGCUGUAUCAACAUGCUGGGCAUUUGACACAGAGGCCGUGGCCGUCGGAUGAAAACAGGAAACGACCGUCUUUAAAAAGACACUCGCUGCCGUGCUCGCUCUUUUAGGGGAAAUGCUCUUAGCCAAAGUGCCCAGGGGCGAAUGCUGCCCUGUGUGCACAGCAAGCUGGAUGCAAACACCGCUGGAAUGCACCAUCACACCUGCAGAGAGAUCCCACGACGAGCUGCAAGCAAAAUAGCAAUUAAAAUUGCUGUUUUUGGAGUGUUCUCCUGAUAGCAAUUAAAACUGCUGUUAUUUGCUCAGAAAUUUACUCUCAACAGAGCUGAAUUGGAAAGAGCAAUCACUUUACAACCGGUGUGGCCCGGCAUGUAAAUCUCACUGGCCAAUUCCCAUUGGCUUGUUUUGUUUUGUACCACUUGGAGGUGAUUGGGCUCCCAAGCAAGGCCUCAUUAUGUCAGUAUUGACGUAACGUUGAACGUGACUGACUGAAUGGGAACAUGCCUUUUUUUUAUUUUUUGAUAUAUUUUGUCUAAAGGUUCAAUAAACUGUUCCAUUAAAAUGUAUUUUUCUGACUAUUAUGCCAUAGGUUUUAUAGGGUCAAACAUGGUUUGAUUAAAAAAUGUUUAAAGGUCUGAUCUGGAUUCAACUGGAUCUUGGUGAGCCUUUGGAUUGAGGCCAGAUGGACUUGGCUGAGGAUCCGCUGAAUCUGUGACGGUCUGUGGUCGAGCAGAGUGCACUUUGUUGCAUAACUACAAAAAUUGCAUUUUACUGCCUGCCUGCUUUCUUUUUUCUGAAAAGGAGAGAGAGUGAUUAAAUAGAUAUGAGUAAAAGAAAUUGCCAUCAGAGACCAGAAAUCUCUUCAAGAACGAAGUUAGUGGAUAAAGACAACUCAUUUCUAACCAUUAAAUUGAAUAACAGUAAGAUAACCAGUAAUCUUCUAUUUAUGACUGAAACCUUUUAUUCACCAGACACUUUUAAAACCUUCAUUAAACAUGAAAAGCUACCGCUGUACAAGCAAUAGCCUAUAUACAGUAAACUCCUGUUCACCAUUAUGGACACUAGGGGAAGCUUCAGGAGAAGAGACUUUAGGAGAAACCUCUUCUGAAGCUUCUUUUUGUCAGUUCUCCAUCUCCACUAUGAAGUAAUGAUGGGCGCUUUUGAAACACUUAGUGAAGCUUCAUAACCUUUGCAAAUCAUUUGUUUUGAACCAGUGAUUCGGAGCAUGUAUUAAAACUGCCAAAGUCACAUGAUUUUAGUAAACAAGGCUUUGUUACUUCAAAAAUGUUUCGAAAUGUUUCAAAAUUUCAAUGGUUCGCCACUAGGGGGCGAUAAUCUAUGUGAACUCAUGAAGCAUUGGCUGCAUCCGAAAACCAAGGCAGCUGACUUGAUGCCUUGAUGCCUUAUCAGGCAAUGACUUGUAAGGCAGCAUUUGUGCAUGAAGGCACCUCACGAAACUGAUUUUGGACAGACUUCUGAGGCAGCGUAAAAGUUUAAUGAUCUACAGCAAAAUAGCGCGAGCUUUGGUGAGAACUAAACAAAUAUUUAAUUACUACAGGAGUAAUUUCUCGCUAGAAAUGACAUCAAAAGUGGAAAAUGCUGGUCAAAAAAGUACAUUUACACAAACUGACCAGCAAACGCAACUUUCGGAUGCCAUGUUUAUUUUUCUAGCUCAACUGUCACAAAAGGAAUGCAUAGGAUUGUGGGAUACCAAAGGCAGCGAAGGAUACAUCUAUGCUGCCUUAAAAAAUUGAUCAGAUGACGGUAUCUCAGGAAAGAGGAAGUGAAGCUAACAUUGGAUUCGGACGUGCCUUGAUGCCUUCCUACCUUUAAAAUGUGUCCUCCAAAGGCAGCAUUUUCUAGUUUUUGGACGCAGCCAUUGUGUCUAGAUUUUUACCUGAUCUCGGAUCCAUUUUUAAAUUUGUGGACAUUUAAAAGGGGAGGGAGGUCUAAUGCUAUUUCGUGCAUUCUGACUUAUUUACACUGUUAAAGAGUUGGAUUCUCAUGCUAAACAUGGCCAAAGUUUCAAAACACGAAUUGGACGUAUGACAAAGUAUUUCUUGGCCAAAAAUACUCUUCCGAUUCCUCACAAACUUCGCACUUUUUUUUUUUUUUUUUUUUUGAGUAUGGCCAUUUAUUAUGUAAUAAAGGGCAGAAGUUCCUUGUACGGGCACUUCUCCCGGAAGAGCACAUGAGCACACAUCGACCAGAGCGAGCACACUCAUCAACACGCUUCGUUCGGCUUUACGGAAGUCGUCGGCAGCCCUGCACAGGACUUGCUUAAAGACUUGUCACUUAGUUUUUAGACCAUGAAAUCAACAAUGUCACCAAAGAAGUAUGUUUUUGGUUGUGAGGGAAAGAUAACCUUGCUUCCCAAAGAACCCAGUGUUAAGUUGAGAUGAGAGAUCUGUGCCCACGCAUUACUUUGAUGCUAUAACUAUCAAAAUAGGGAUAAAGUCAUGUCUGAUAGUUGCAAUCACUUUUUUAUUGGUUAAGAUGAAUGGAGAAUAUCCGUGGCUGCUCGAGCCCCAAGGAUCGGCGCUUUUUGGUUUCAUAAACAAGGCCCAGUUCUACGCUGGAUUUACAGAUCAUUUGAAACUGAAAGAUGGAGCGGUCACAGCGAUAAUGAUCCCGGUCAUGAGUCGGAACCGCAGGUGAGCAGUCUUUUUAAAACCGCACAUGCAUAUUUUCAUGGAUAUGUGUGUUAAAGUCUGCGUUUGUUAUCACUGAAGGCGAAGCUACUUCAAAGACUCAAGCCAUAAAUCUCUCAACUUGAAUGUACUCUGAUGGCCAUCCCAGGAAACAAACGACAUACCAGUAAUUCAUUGUUGCUUUUUUUUUUUGUAAUUUCAUAACUUACUAAUUGAUAAUGCAACUAUUAAAAUGACCAACUCUCAAUGUCGUCAGUACGACCUCCUAAGGUUAUAAAGUAACCAUAAACUUUCCAAUUAUGUACUAUAUUUGUUGUACUUUAGUAAUUUCAUGACUUUUUAGUAACUGCAAUGUCAUAGGUCUGUAAUUUCAUUACUAUCAGUUAUACAUUAUUUAUGCUCUGAUGACCAGAGUUUGUAAUUAAAUGUCAAUCACAAAACUGAAAUUUCCCUUAAGAUGAAAUGUUUCAUUUCACCAAAUCAAAAGAUACAGACGAUUUGCUCUUAGUGAAGUUAUGUACAAUUAAAUAGUGCACGUUAGACAUGUGCACAGAAAGACCCCAGUUGGUUAAUAUUGUAAAUGUUAACACUUUUGAUAGUAUUUGAUGUCACUAAGUUAGCCUAUAUUGUGGAAACUGUAGUUAUGUUGUCACGACGAAACUUUGGUCAUAAUAUACUUGCUGUAUAUAUUUAAUAUUAUAAUUAUUUAUUUAUUUUUAACUUACAGCGCCACUUGAAAGUUUGUGAACCCCUUGCAGAAUCUGUGAAAAUGUGAAAAAUUUUAACAAAAUAAGAGAGAUCAUACAAAAUGCAUGUUAUUUUUUAUUUAGUACUGUCCUGAGUAAGAUAUUUUACAUAAAAGAUGUUUACAUAUAAUUCACAAGACAAAAAAAAUAGCUGAAUUUAUUAAAAUGACCCCGUUCAAAAGUUUGUGAACCCUUGAUUCUUAAUACUGUGUGUGGUUACCUGGAUGAUCUACGACUGUUUUUUUUGUU